CUUCGAUAUAUACACAUCAUAUAUAAUCUUAACUGUCCGGAAUCGCAGCUGCUGGCUUAGCCUUAUCGGAGUAAGAAAGGGCUUUUGUGGCAGUGAGGGUGCACCUUUCUCCGGACUGUAUGCUAGGCGGAUGGUAUUGGGGCAAUACUGGAGUAGCUGUAAUCAGAGAGGUCAUUUCCGGGGAAAUACUUUUGGCAAACUUUAGGUAACACGUGAACUCCUGCUGCACAUCUUCAUUAUUUGUAUAAAAGAACGAUCUAAACGAGCCAACUCUUGCCAGAGCUUUUCUGGGACACCUGGCUCUAAUUAGGCUAAAUAAAAGAGAGAGGAAAUCGUAGGCAUGGGGCGAGGCUGAAUUAAUCAUUAAGGUAGUGAAAACUGUGCAACACUGCCAAAUGAUUUCGUCCUUUGCCCGCGGCCAACAUAAGAGAAAUAAAGAUGGGGCGAAAUGAGGGGAAUGGUAUCAAGGAUCUACCUAUUCGACGCCCAGGUGUCACGUUGGAAGGUUCGGCUGUCGCUGCUCCUGCUUAUGGUCUAUCAUGUAUAGUUUGCAUACUGCCUCUCUGUUGUCUCCGGUGGAACCAGGCAGUUGAUCAUUGUUAAGUGGAUAACAGUCUACCAAACUAAGUUAUGUUGUUUGUGAAUUAGUCACUAUUAUAAAUAAAGUAACUCCUUACUUAAUUGAUGCCAUGGCUCUGAAACAAGUCAUUUUUUUCUCAAGAAUGGACGUUUUGCAUACAUGCAGGCUUUUCAGGGGUGGGACUGUAUUGGAGGAUAUAGUAGGACCCGGAGUGUCCACAUGUCCAGAGAUUAAGUGGUAGGAGUCAAACCUUCUGAUGAGGGCAGACUGGCAAAAGAUGGGAAAAGGAUUGGCAUUGGUCAUCAUUUAAAUUCUCUACAUUUACAGCAAAUUGAGUUUGCUAUAUAUGUUUGCUAAAUGGUUGCAUUCAAACAAUGAUAGGUCAUUAAUUUCAAAGCAGGACUACUUUGGACUCAACCUACUAAAUAGUGUUGUAUUUUCUUUUCCACUGCCAAGUCAUGACAUAGGCCCACCAGGCAGUACAGGUUUUAUUGUCCAGUCUGGAAGCUCACAAAGAAAGAGCUUGGAGGAAAUAAAGAUUUUAAAGUUCAAAAUAAAAAUGUAAUCUGUUGGAUGUGUUAGGAUUACCUUUUAGGGGUUGAAGAUGCUCAUUUUUACAUAAGGGACCAAAUGUUAAAAUUAUAUGCGGUGCAUCCAAUUCAUGUUAAUGUGGUGACCUAGGCUUAUCGUAUCUUAAACAAAUGGUGUAUUGUAAGAUCCUUAAACAACAUGGUUAAGCAUUGCAUCCCAAUCAUUGAAAUCACAAGAGCGCUCAUGUAAUGUCACUGGCUAUCAUGCCAGUGACAAUACAAACCUUACUAUGGAAUAAUAUUGAUUUGAUGCAACAUAUCUGUAUGUAUAAUAAAUACACAUUGUGAACAUAAUAAAUCAAAACUUUCUUCCUAAAAGAAGGUGUGAAAGGCAAAGGAUCUUCAUAUCGGCCCCAUGGUGUGGCUUUCAGAAAUCAAAUGUAAUAAAAUAGAUUUUACUAUUGGUCAAUAGUAUAAAUGCAAUUAAUAUCUUGUUGUUGCAUUUUAACAUCAAAGCCACACAAAGCCUUUUCCUUUAAAGCUCAUGCAUAAAUUGUUACUGAAAACCUGUAGCCAUAAAGGCAACAACAUAUAUCUGCACAUUUCCUGAUAUCUUCACAUUUGCUGAUAUUUCUUGAUAUAGCCUAUUCGUCAAACUAUCCCGUUUGUAUUGUUGUGCCUUACCAUGGCUAUAACACCUUAGAUAAAUAGAUACAUACACAGAGAGAGGACGAUACAAAUCCAGAGAGAAAGAGAGAGAGGGGGGAGGGGAAGAGAGAAAGAGAGUGCGCGAAAGAGAGAGAGAGGGAGAUAAAGUGAGAGAGUGUGGUCUUGUGUGUGUGUGUGUGUGUGUGUGUGUGUGUGUGUGUGUGUGUGUGUGUGUGUGUGUGUGUGUGUGUGUGUGUGUGUGUGUGUGUGUGUGUGUGUGUGUGUGUGUGUGUGUUUGUGU
ensembl:lncRNA